UGUGAAUAAUAGAAUUUUACAGUGGAAGAAGUUGUUUAUUCUGCAAUAAGGUUGGGAAGUUGCCGUGGCUGCCGUGUUAUGUUCAUUCUGCAUUUGUCAAGACAAAUUCACUUAGUGUUCAUAAUCCAGAUGAUCGCUUCGGCUGGAGCUUCUAGCAUUCUCUGGAUUUUCAACAGAGUAUAUCGUGGACGAACUUGUGUGAAUCAAGCUGCUGAAAUUGUCGCUGGAACCGCGCCACAAUAUCACUAGGCCUUUCGUAAAAAGCUACUGGGUCGGUGGACGGUCAUGAGCAA